rnacentral:rRNA from 1 species
GAUGAACGCUGGCGGCGUGCUUAACACAUGCAAGUCGAACGGAAAGGCUCCUGCUUGCAGGGGUACUCGAGUGGCGAACGGGUGAGUAACACGUGGGUGAUCUGCCCUGCACUUCGGGAUAAGCCGUGGAAACUGGGUCUAAUACCGGAUAGGACCACAUUUUGGAUGGUGUGGUGGAAAGUUUUUCGGUGUUGGUUGAGCUCGCGGCCUAUCAGCUUCUUGGUGGGGUAAUGGCCUACCAAGGCGUCGACGGGUAGCCGGCCGGAGAGGGUGUACGGCCACAUUGGGACUGAGGUACGGCCCAGACUACUACGGGAGGCAGCAGUGGGAAAUAUUGCACAAUCGGAGCAAGCCUGAGGCAAAGACGACGCGUGAGGGAUGACGGCCUUCGGGUUGUAAACUACUUUCGCUAGGGACGAAGCGCAAGUGACGGUACCUGGAGAAGAAGCACCGGCUAACUUCGUG